CAGCAGCCGCGGUAAUACGUAGGGGGCAAGCGUUGUCCGGAAUCACUGGGCGUAAAGCGCGUGUAGGCGGCUUCUUAAGUCUGGUGUGAAAGCCCGGGGCUUACCCCCGGAAGGGCACUGGAAACUGGGGAGCUGGAGUACCGGAGAGGAGGGUGGAAUUCCUGGUGUAGCGGUGAAAUGCGUAGAUAUCAGGAGGAACACCGGUGGCGAAGGCGGCCCUCUGGACGGAUACUGACGCUGAGACGCGAAAGCGUGGGGAGCAAACAGGAUUAGAUACCCUGGUAGUCCACGCUGCAAACGAUGAGCACUAGGUGUCGUGGGUAUUGACCCCCGCGGUGCCGACGCUAACGCAUUAAGUGCUCCGCCUGGGGACUACGGCCGCAAGGUUAAAACUCAAAGGAAUUGACGG
rnacentral:rRNA from 1 species